rnacentral:rRNA from 1 species
GAUGAACGCUGGCGGCGUGCCUAACACAUGCAAGUCGAACGGGAGUCCCUAGAUUCGUCUGGGGGCGAGAGUGGCGAACGGGUGAGUAACACGUAGGUGACCUACCCCGGAGAGGGGAAUAACUGCUGGAAACGGUAGCUAAUGCUCCAUGAGCUUGUAGAUUCGUUUCUGCAAGUAAAGCGCCCCGGCAACGGGGUUACGCUUCGGGAGGGGCCUGCGGCCCAUCAGGUAGUUGGUAGGGUAACGGCCUACCAAGCCGAUGACGGGUAGGGGGCGUGAGAGCGUGAUCCCCCACACUGGCACUGAGACACGGGCCAGACUCCUACGGGAGGCAGCAGUGAGGAAUAUUGCCCAAUGGACGCAAGUCUGAGGCAGCAACGCCGCGUGCGCGAUGAAGGCCUUCGGGUUGUAAAGCGCUUUUCUGUGGGACGAGAGAGGACGGUACCAUAGGAAUAAGUCACGGCUAACUACGUGCCAGCAGCCGCGGUAAUACGUAGGUGGCGAGCGUUAUCCGGAAUUACUGGGCGUAAAGCGCGUGCAGGCGGUUCGGAAAGUCGGACGUGAAAGCUCCUGGCUUAACUGGGAGAGGCCGUUCGAAACUACCGGACUUGAGGUUGGGAGAGGGACGUGGAAUUCCCGGUGUAGUGGUGGAAUGCGUAGAUAUCGGGAGGAACACCAGUGGCGAAGGCGGCGUCCUGGCCCACACCUGACGCUGAGACGCGAAAGCGUGGGUAGCGAACGGGAUUAGAUACCCCGG